ACCUAGCAACGGGAUGAUUGUUGCAGUCUGCAGAUGAGUAUAUGAUAGGACUGCAAGCUCGAUACACGUAUUUAGAAUCAGUGUAAAGUAUUUAUUAAACAAACAACAAAUAAAUACUAGUGCUCUCACUCCGAAGCUUCAUUAAUAAAAAAUAAAAUUAAGUAAUUGUGGCCUUAAGUUGGCGUAAAGUGGUGUCAUUUUUUAUGGAAGGUUUUGCAAAAUAAUAAAAAGUUUGUGCUAAAUUCUGCAGUGUUGCAAUGUCUGAGCCUUUGGUAUUUUUGCCGAUGGAGCGAUGGGGUGAAUUAAAAAGUGUUUUUAAAUCUGACUGGCCGCGUGGUAUAUCUGCGUAUACAACAUUGGAUACUGCAGAGCAUAUUGUAAAUAAUGGAGCUGAUUAUGGUUUUAAAGCGUAUGUUCCAUUCGGAGAUUUAACUAAUGGACUUGUUGCUCUGAAUGUAAAGGGUACAUUUUAUGAAGUUGUGGUGCUAUGUCCGAAAGAUGAUACAACAGAAUUAGAAGACGCACUAAUGCGAACUAAACUGAUAGAUUGGAAUCGAUCAUUCCAUAUACCGUUUACACCCAAAAACGUGUCGGAUCUCAUGAAGCGAAUAAUUACUAAGAAGAAUCUAUCAAGCUUCACUACGAUUACGGUUACGGAUACAUUUUACUAUAAUGAAACGCCAAACUUUAAUGUCUCAUUACCUUCCGGUUUUAAAUUUGAGUUGUUAAGUAUGGAAGACGCUCAAAUAGCCGACGAUACUUGGCCCCACAAACAUCCUGGAUCUGUUUGGUACUUCAAGCUCUUGAUAAAAGCCAAACUAGGCUAUGGCCUCUACAAAAACAAU